rnacentral:rRNA from 1 species
CAAAGGGGCAAAGCGCGUAUGAGGGGAUCCAAGGGCUGGCUCUUAGGAGUAAGCUGUUUCUUUGUUUAAAUGCAGAGAGAGGAGGGGCUGGGUAAGACGGGUGCCAGCCGCCGCGGUAAUACCUGCAGCUCAGUGGUGACCAUUAUUAUUGGGCCUAAACGUUCGUAGCCUGCUAAGUAAAUGCCUGGGUAAAUCGUGCCGCUCAACGGUACGAAUUCCGGGUAGACUGCUUAGCUUGAGACCGGGAGAAGCUAGAGGUACUCCUGGGGUAGGGGUGAAAUCCUGUAAUCCUGGGGGGACCACCAGUGGCGAAGCGUCUAGCUAGAACGGGUCUGACGGUGAGGAACGAAACCCUGGGGCGCAAACCGGAUUAGAUACCCGGGUAGUCCAGGGCGCAAACGCUGCUUGCUUGAUGUUAGCUGGGCUUCGAGCUCAGCUAGUGUCGGAGUGAAAAUGUUAAGCAAGCUGCCUGGGAAGUACGAUCGCAGAUUGAAACUUAAAGGAAUUGGCGGGGGAGCCC